ACCCAACUAGCGCAAUGGGAGCGCGUGAGACAUCUACUCCAGAGGUCCGAAGGGGCGUGGCUUCGACCCUCACGUUGGGUU